CUUCUUCACCCUUAGAAAUUGUAGAUAUGUAUGUAGUGAGACGUCUUUUACGAGGCACCGUACAAUUGGCACACAGCCCAGAAAAAUGUAUACAAACGCGCACUCAGUGCCGUGAACGCGCGAAUAUCAGCCCUUUUCUGCCUGCACACCAAAGUGUGCAAUAUGGAGGCCUAGUUCACAACACAGCCGUACACUCGCCAGGCGUUCGGGGAACUUCGGGGAACCUGAUUAAAAUAUUAGAACCGGUGAAUCUUAGGAACCUCACUUUGAAUCUGGGAACUUUAGAAAUACAAACUUUGUGAUUUAAUAUGUUUAUCAUUGGCAACUGUGUCAGAAUUUAUAGAGCUAGAAACUGAUCUAUUAUCUUAUCGAUACUUUUUGUAACAGUUUUUGUAGGUUAAAAUUGAGAUCAUGUGUUAAUUUAAACUAUUGUAAUCGAUUUUUGUGAACAAGUUCAUGAGACCAAGCAUAA